UCAGACGAACGCUGGCGGCAUGGUUCAAGCAUGCAAGGAAAACGGACUAGCAAUAGUCAGUGGCGAAAGGGUGAGUAAUACGAUCCAACGUACCUCGAGGCGGCGGAUAGGCAUGGGAAACUGUGCGUAAUACGCCAUGAUGUCUACGGACCAAACAUUUAUGGCCUUGAGAGCGGGGAUCGUCCUAUCAGGUAGUUGGCGGGGUAAAGGCCCACCAUGCCUAAGACGGGUAGCAGGUGUGAGAGCACGGCCUGCCACAUCGGGACUGAGACACUGCCCGGACUCCUACGGGAGGCAGCAGU
rnacentral:rRNA from 1 species